rnacentral:rRNA from 1 species
UACGAAGGGGGCUAGCGUUGUUCGGAAUUACUGGGCGUAAAGCGCGCGCAGGCGGUCUUCCAAGUCAGUGGUGAAAGCCCGGAGCUCAACUCCGGAAUUGCCAUUGAAACUGUGAGACUGGAGUACGAGAGAGGUGAGUGGAAUUCCUGGUGUAGCGGUGAAAUGCGCAGAUAUCAGGAAGAACACCCGUGGCUAAGGCGGUUCUCUAGUACGGUACUGACGCUGAGACGCGAAAGCGUGGGGAGCGAACAGG